GUCCUUUUGAUUGUUUAUUUAAGGUUUGACCUGCCCAAUGAAUAUUUUUUAAUGGCCGCGGUAUAUUAACCGUGCUAAGGUAGCAUAAUUAUUUGUCUUCUAAUUAAGGGCUUGUAUGAAGGGUUGGACGAGGUGCGUGCUUUCUUUAAUUUAAAUUUAGAAUUUAUCUUUUUAGUUAAAAGACUAAAAUUUAUCUGUGGGACGAGAAGACCCUAUAGAUCUUUAUAAUAUAGAGUUAUAAAUUUUGUGGUUUAUAAUUUAAUUUAAUUUCUUGUUAUUAUUUAAUUGGGGUGAUUGCAGAAAAUUGAUAACUUCUGUUUUAGUAAUUCAUUAAUUAGUGUUUUUAUGAUCCGUUAAUAAUGAUUAUAAGAUUAAGUUACCUUAGGGAUAACAGCGUAAUUUUUUCGGAGAGUUCAUAUCGAUGAAGGAGUUUGCGACCUCGAUGUUGGAUUAAAAUAAGUGUUAGGUGUAGCAAUUUAAUAGCUAGGUCUGUUCGACCUUUAAUUUUUU
rnacentral:rRNA from 1 species